AUGGUGUUUGUUAAGUGCUUACUAUGUGUCAAGCAGAUAGAUACAAGAUACCAGGGAAUCGAGUUGUCCCACGUGGAGCUCACAGUCUUAAUCCCCAUUUUACAGAUGAGGUAACUGAGGCCCAGAGAAGUUAAGUGACUCGACCAAAGUAACACAGCUGAUGUGGAGGAACCGGGAUGAGAACCCACGACCUUUUGACUCCCUAGGUCCGGCUCUUUCCACUAAGCCACGCUGCCUUUCUCCUACACCCUUCUCCCUCUCCUUCCCCGCCUUCCUCCUCACCCCUCUCUCCUUCCUUACCUUUUCUGCCCUCUAACCCCUUCUUCCCUUCUCUCCCCGCCCUCCUCCUCCUCCUCACCUCCUCUCUCCAUCCCACCCCUUUCCCCUGCGCUUACAACAGUGUCUGGCACUUAGAACAGUAUUUGGCACGUAGUAAGCGCUUAACAAGUACCGUCAUCAUUAUUACCUCUCCCGUCCGGCCCCCCCCCCCCCCCGCCCUCUUCACCCCCCCCCUUCUCUCACCCCUCCCUGUCACCCGCCCCCUUUUCCCACACACAGACACACACACAUAGACACACCCACCCGCCCUCACCUAGGGCGAGCAGCCCCAUAUAAAGGGCUGGUCUGGGCCCAAAGGCCCAGAACGGACUGGCUUCUCUUGGCCCGGCCUCGCCCGGCUUUUCAGAGAAGACUCACCUGUCUGGAGCAGGACCCCCACCCAACCAUGAGACCCCGGAUCCCGGCCGGCCUGCUGCUGCUGCUGUUCCUGGGCCUCCUGAUCUUGGUCCUCCCACCUGCAGAGGGGGCCAAUCCCAGAAGGCUGAACUGCUGUUCCAGAAUCAUGGGGAUAAUAAAAGCCAUGAAAGAAGCAUGCCCGGUUGGUCCUUUCCUCCUCAGAAUCUCGCUCCCACAGUGAGCUCCAGGGAGGGGGCUGGAGGAGGGAGGAGAGUCCCCAACGGCUGGUGCCAACAGUCCAAUUCCAAUGCAGUUCUCCACCCCUUCCCUGCAUGGAGAGCGCCAUAGGCCAGCAGAGGCAGGAAGAAAAGCUUCAGGCCUGGGCGUCUCCAUUGCCAAAGCCCCGAUUUCCCUUCCCGAGCUCCUUCCUGGCCUAAUUUACCUGCCAGGAGUCCCAGCAACUCUUUCCUCACCUCUGUUCUUGGACCGGGUAGAAAACUACCUGGAUAAACACUGUCAAUAAACCUUUCGCCCAACACAGCUUCAGGCCAGUCUGUUCUCUGGGUAGGGCCUAGGGAGGAGAACAGUGGCCACUGACCUGAAACGCCCUCCUCCUCAAAUCCUACAGACAAUUACCCUUCCCCAUUUUAAAGCCUUAUUGAAGCCUCAUCUCCUCCUAGAGGCCUUCCUUAAACCAAGCCCUCCUUUCCUCUUCUCCCAUUCCUUUCUGCGUUGCCCUGACCUGCUCCCUUUAUUCCUUCCCCCUCCCAGUCCCACAGCACUUAUCUUUAAUUUAUUUAUAUUAAUGUCUGUCUCCCAUUCUAGACCGCAAGUUCAUUUUGUGCAGGGACUGUGUGUGCUUAUUGUUGUACUGUACUCUCCCAAAUGCUUAGUACAGUGCUCUGUACAUACUAAGUACUCAAUAAAUAUGAUUGAAUGAAUGAAUGGAAUCAGCCCAUUGGUCCGCCC
rnacentral:lncRNA from 1 species